rnacentral:rRNA from 1 species
UACGUAGGGUGCAAGCGUUGUCCGGAAUUAUUGGGCGUAAAGAGCUCGUAGGCGGUCUGUCGCGUCUGCUGUGAAAACUCGGGGCUUAACCCCGGGCCUGCAGUGGGUACGGGCAGACUAGAGUGCGGUAGGGGAGACUGGAAUUCCUGGUGUAGCAGUGAAAUGCGUAGAUAUCAAGAGGAACACCAGUGGCGAAGGCGAGUCCCUGGACAACACCUGACACUGAGGCACGAAAGCUAGGGGAGCAAACAGG